UACGAAGGGUGCAAGCGUUACUCGGAAUUACUGGGCGUAAAGCGUGCGUAGGUGGUUUGUUAAGUCCGAUGUGAAAGCCCUGGGCUCAACCUGGGAAUGGCAUUGGAUACUGGCAGGCCAGAGUGCGGUAGAGGGGUACGGAAUUCCCGGUGUAGCAGUGAAAUGCGUAGAUAUCGGGAGGAACAUCCGUGGCGAAGGCGACACCCUGGACCAGCACUGACACUGAGGCACGAAAGCGUGGGGAGCAAACAGG
rnacentral:misc_RNA from 1 species